GACGAACGCUGGCGGCGUGCUUAACACAUGCAAGUCGAACGGAAAGGCCCUGCUUUUGUGGGGUGCUCGAGUGGCGAACGGGUGAGUAACACGUGAGUAACCUGUCCUUGACUUUGGGAUAACUUCAGGAAACUGGGGCUAAUACCGGAUAGGAGCUCCUGCUGCAUGGUGGGGGUUGGAAAGUUUCGGCGGUUGGGGAUGGACUCGCGGCUUAUCAGCUUGUUGGUGGGGUAGUGGCUUACCAAGCCUUUGACGGGUAGCCGGCAUGAGAGGGGGACCGGACACCUUGGGCCUGAGGUACGGCCCAGACUUCUACGGGGGGCAGCAGUGGCGAGUAUUGCACAAUGGGCAGAAGCGUGAUGAAACAACGCCGCGUGCGGGAUAACGGCCUUCCAGUUGUAAACCGCUUUGGCCUAAGACGAAGCGUGAGUGACGGUAAUGGGUAAAGAAGCACCGGCUAACUACGUG
rnacentral:rRNA from 1 species